UACGAAGGGGGCUAGCGUUGCUCGGAAUGACUGGGCGUAAAGGGCGCGUAGGCGGAUGACACAGUCAGAUGUGAAAUUCCCGGGCUUAACCUGGGGGCUGCAUUUGAUACGUGUUGUCUAGAGUGAGGAAGAGGGUUGUGGAAUUCCCAGUGUAGAGGUGAAAUUCGUAGAUAUUCGCAAGAACACCAGUGGCGAAGGCGGCUCACUGGCCCGAUACUGACGCUGAGGUGCGAAAGCGUGGGGAGCAAACAGGG
rnacentral:rRNA from 1 species